UACGGAGGGGGCGAGCGUUGUUCGGAAUUAUUGGGCGUAAAGAGUAUGUAGGUGGCUGAAUCAGUCAGGCGUGUAAGCCCACGGCUCAACCGUGGAAUUGCGUUUGAUACUAUUUAGCUUGAGUUCGGGAGAGGAAAGCGGAAUUCCCAGUGUAGCGGUGAAAUGCAUUGAUAUUGGGAAGAACAUCUGUGGCGAAGGCGGCUUUCUGGUCCGAUACUGACACUGAGAUACGAAAGCCAGGGGAGCGAACGGG
rnacentral:rRNA from 1 species